rnacentral:rRNA from 1 species
AUGUUCACGGUGAAGAGUGCGUAUAAAUUGGCAGACGCUCUGAAAAGACAAGGAACUAAACUCCCCUCAAGCUCGGCAAGUGAUCCCGGUGAUAGGAAAAUUUGGGAUGUGAUCUGGAAAGCCCGCGUGCCGGAGAAAGUCAAGAUUUUUGGCUGGCGAGUGGCAACUAAUUCGUUAGCCACAAAGCACAAUCUUUUCAGAAGGACAAUUGUUAACGAAGAUGUGUGUGACAUCUGUGGAAUGGAGAGAGAGGACGAGUUCCAUGCAGUCAUCACAUGUACCAAAAGCAAAGCCCUGCGUUGUGAUCUAAGGACAAAAUGGGAAAUCCCGAAAAAGUGUGAGUUCAGAUUCACAGGCAGAGAUUGGCUGCAGAUGCUUCUAUUGAAGUACCCAGAGAUGAUCAGAAGCCGGAUUCUGCUAAUACUUUGGAAGGCUUGGCAUCUAAGAAAUAAUAUAGUUCAUGGGGAUGGGAGAGAAACA